AGUGAAGUGUCUGAAUAAAGAGUUAUUUUGAUAGAAUAAAUCAUGUGAUCAAUCACCUUCAUUA
rnacentral:tRNA from 1 species